rnacentral:rRNA from 1 species
AUUGAACGCUGGCGGCAGGCCUAACACAUGCAAGUCGAGCGGAUGAAGGGAGCUUGCUCCUGGAUUCAGCGGCGGACGGGUGAGUAAUGCCUAGGAAUCUGCCUGGUAGUGGGGGAUAACGUCCGGAAACGGGCGCUAAUACCGCAUACGUCCUGAGGGAGAAAGUGGGGGAUCUUCGGACCUCACGCUAUCAGAUGAGCCUAGGUCGGAUUAGCUAGUUGGUGGGGUAAAGGCCUACCAAGGCGACGAUCCGUAACUGGUCUGAGAGGAUGAUCAGUCACACUGGAACUGAGACACGGUCCAGACUCCUACGGGAGGCAGCAGUGGGGAAUAUUGGACAAUGGGCGAAAGCCUGAUCCAGCCAUGCCGCGUGUGUGAAGAAGGUCUUCGGAUUGUAAAGCACUGUAAGUUGGGAGGAAGUGCAGUAAGUUAAUACCUUGCUGUUUUGACGUUACCAACAGAAUAAGCACCGGCUAACUUCGUG